GGCGAGGGGAGUGAAAAAGAACCUGAAACCGUGUACGUACAAGCAGUGGGAGCACAGGUUUACCUGUGUGACUGCGUACCUUUUGUAUAAUGGGUCAGCGACUUAUAUUCUGUAGCAAGGUUAACCGUAUAGGGGAGCCGAAGGGAAACCGAGUCUUAACCGGGCGUUAAGUUGCAGGGUAUAGACCCGAAACCCGGUGAUCUAGCCAUGGGCAGGUUGAAGGUUGGGUAACACUAACUGGAGGACCGAACCGACUAAUGUUGAAAAA
rnacentral:rRNA from 1 species